GAGAAGCCUCCUUAUCACAGCAGACAGCACUGACCCGAUGAGCUGCUGAAUGACAUGAGAGUGCAUGUAGGGACGAGACUGGAGACAAAAAAACAACAACAACACUUACUUUAAAUUUAAAUCUAAAUGUGACAUGAAGACAUUGCAUCUUAGUUUUGAAAGUCGAGAGAUUUAAUCCACAUAUACCUGAUCUAUGUAAUUUGACUUGAGGCCAGAGCACCAGUGUUUUCAGUUGAUCUAUCUCCUGCUUGGAGCGGCUGAUCUCUCCCUGGUACUCUGUCAACGUUUUCUCCACCGCCCCGAAAAUCUCCACAGCCGCCGCUGUCAGCCGCUCAGAGAUGAACGCGUUUAGAUAGUGUAGAGUGGCCAUGUCAGCCAUGGAUGUAGCCUGUUUAGAGAACGAUGUUAGCCAUGGAUGUAUUAAGACACCGAUGUCAGCUCGGAUGCUGUUCUGGUUCUGACACGGAAGACAUUUCGGUAACAACAGAAAGAUCAGCUGACACACCGUCAUUGCGGGCUUCUCAUUGUACCUGGCAGACUCUUAUGGAACAAGAAGCAUCCCUCAAAGACCAUCCAACCAAGGCAACAGAGCAGACAAAGAGAUCUGAGCCGAAACAUGGAGAACAGAUCGUUUAUGGACAAAUUUGUGCAUCUUUAUUAGGAUGAAUGCCUGUAAAAUACCCACACUCAUGAACCAAAUGCAUGUGGCAGUAUAUGGACCCGUACACAUUUAUCAUGGAUGUCCAACUAUGAUACAUACUGUACAUGGAUGUUCAAUCUGCUUCAUUAUACUGAUGCAAGUCACAUGCUGGAGGUCAAGAAACAGGGUUGCACAAGUCAUAUCAAACAGCUAACGGGAAUUAUCCUUUGAAUAUUACUAUACAUGAAUUGCAUUUUUUUUUUUUAUUUGUACAAGACUGAAUUGGGAUUUUAAAGCCAACAAAAACUCAAUAUCAAUUAUGAGCCCUAUUAUCACUGCUACUGAUGUGCCUUUUUUACUGGGCUUUAGCAGUGUAAAAGAAUACUCUGGGCAUGCUUUAGAGAGGUAUAACUUAGGUUUAUAAUUUCCCAGUAGUCUGAGGAUAGCAUAGAAAACAGUCACAGCAAUUUGCAGCAGGAUCGGCCACUUGUAAACAAUUUGGGAGAAAAUCUUCCUCUUUACGUCAUAAAUAUGAAACGGCAGUGUGAUGUUGUCUGUACAGAUGCAACUAAGAAGUGGAAACCAUGGGAACAUAAUCAUACUGCAAUGGUUGCAUAUACGGUACUUUUGUCUUGCACAAUUCCUGUAUAGUGUUUUUUUUUGCAGUUUACAGUUUUUUUGUAAAUUAAGUGUUUAGACUUUCUGACAUGAUCAAUGUCAGACAUGAGUUGGAAUCUAUUUAUUCUAACAAAUUAAACAGAAAUGUCACUAAUUCUGAAUAUGUAUCUAAAUGAGAAACACAAAAUAUCAAAAUAUAGUUCCAGUUAGAUUAGAAAAAAGAAUAUACAUGUUAUAAUAGGGAUCUAAAUAAACUUUCAGUAAU